rnacentral:rRNA from 1 species
AUGAGUCUAGUGAUGAGAAUGCUUCGGAUAGCUCAGGCUGAAGAACUCAUUGAUGCAUUGGAAUUGGAAGAAGUAGAAACAGGGAGUGGGCAGAAUCUGGAAAUGGGUUUGGGAAGGCCAUGUGAUACACGUUGGGGCUCUCACUUCAAAACUAUGAACCAUGUCAUCUCUAUGUAUGGUGCACUACGACGAGUUCUUCGCAAGAUUGGAGAUGAGUACCAUGGUGCGGAGGCACAAGCGGCUCUCUCCAUAGAGACAAUAUUUCGAUCAUUUGAGUUUGUUUUCAUGGCACACUUGAUGCAAGAAAUAUUUGGAUACGCAGAUGAGUUGUGUAUAGCUUUGCAAAAGCAAGACGAAGAUAUUGUUCAUGCUAUUGAGCUUGUUCGUGACACAAAGUAUUACUUGGAGGCUUUGAGGACCGAUGCUGGAUGGGAUGAUUUUCUCACAAAGGUCACAUCUUUUUGUACAAAGUAUAAGAUCAAAGUUGUUGAUAUGGAGGGUCCUUACUUUCCCGUUGGCCGGCCUAGAAGGGGUUUAUGUAAUGGUGUGAUCAAUUAUCACCACUUCAAGGUUGAUAUGUUUGUGGGUGUCAUUGAUAGGAAAAUCAGUGAGCUGAAUGGCAGAUUUGAUGAGGUAAACACAGAGCUACUUUCUUGCAUGGCAGCAUUCUGUCCAUUUCACCUAUUUGCUGCUUAUGACCAAGAGAAGUUGGUUAGGCUUGCUACAAAGUUUUGUGCUUCUGAUUUUACAAGUGAUGAACUGGCAAGACUUCCAUGGCAACUAAACAUGUAUGUUACUAAUGUGCGUAGAGAUGAAAGGUUUCAAAACCUGAAAAAUCUAUGUCAACUUUCAGUUGUGCUUGUGGAGACAAACAAGCAUGAACAAUAUCAUAUUGUUUACAAGCUUCUUAAGUUGGUAUUGAUUCUGCCAGUAGCUACUGCUAGUGUUGAAAGGGUAUUCUCUUCAAUGAGCCAUGUGAAGAAUAAUCUAAGGAGCAAAAUGGGUGAUGAAUAUUUGAACAAUUGUUUGGUUACAUUUGUUGAGAGAGAACUUUUCAAUUAA